rnacentral:ncRNA from 1 species
AAAGCUAAAUAUUUGUAGGAAACCGAUAGUAUACAAGUACCGUGAGGGAAAGAUGAAAUAGUACUCAGGAAUGAGGUUUAAAUAGUACCUGAAAUCGUUAAGAUGGAACGGAUUAAGAGAGAAAUAACGUAAGAUGGGAUUAAUUAUUAGCUCUUUAGGGAGCGUUUUUUAAUUCCUAUUUUAUUAAAAGAAGCAUCAGUGAAUGUUGAAUAAUUAAAAUAUAGUUAAGUAUUCUUUACAAAUAUAAAUAUGUGCGUAAAAAUGCCGUAUCACUUCCGCUAAAUUGGUUGGAUAACGAGCUAUUUUUGAUUAUUCUGUUUACUGAGGUUUAUUAAAAUCAUUGUGGCCUUUGUCCCUAUUGAUUUAAGUUGCUUCUAAAAAGCACUUUCUUAACCCACUCGUCUUGAAACACGGACCAAGGAGUCUAACAAAUGUGCGAGCGUAUAUAUGUUUUUAACUAUAAUAAAAGAAUGAAAAUUCUUUAAUAUUUACGCGUAAUUAAUGUAAUAUAUUAAACUUACAUUGUAGAAUGUACUGAAAUUGAAUAAUAUUUAUUUUUCAUUUGAAGUAUAUGCAUACAAUACCGGUUAGCAAAUAUGCUAAAUUGAGUAAGAGUAUAUUUGUUAGGACCCGAGAGGCUUUGAACUAAGCGUGGUGAGAUUGAAGUCAGACGAAAGUCUGAUGGAGGAUCGAAUUGAUACUGACGUGCAAAUCGUUCAUUUCAAUCACGUUUAGGGGCGAAAGACUAAUCGAAAAGCCUAUUAGCUGGUUAUUUUCGAAAGAUCUCUCAGGAUCGCUGGAGUUGAUUAAUAUAGUUUUACGAGGUAGAGAUAAUGAUUAGAGGAUUCAGGGAAAUCGUUUUCCUUGGCCUAUUCUCAAACUCCCAAUACGUAAUAAGGGAUUAAUAUCUUUAUUGUAUUUUUCCCACUAUAAAUAAGAUAACUCCAAGUGGGCCAUUUUUGGUAAGCAGAACUGGCGAUGAGGGAUGCUCCUAACGCUUGGAUAAGGUGCCUAAAUAUUCGCUCAUGAGAUCCCAUAAAAGGUGUUGGUUCAUAAUGACAG